GCCGCGUUGGCGUAGUGGUAGCGCGUCUCACUCGUAUUUCCUUCCACCUGGGAAGACAUGAGAAGGUCACUCGUUCAAUCCGGGUACGUGGCA